rnacentral:rRNA from 1 species
CUCGUAGGCGGCCAACUAAGUCAGACGUGAAAUCCCUCGGCUUAACCGGGGAACUGCAUCUGAUACUGGAUGGCUUGAGAUUGGGAGAGGGAUGCGGAAUUCCAGGUGUAGCGGUGAAAUGCGUAGAUAUCUGGAGGAACACCGGUGGCGAAGGCGGCAUCCUGGACCAACACUGACGCUGAGGAGCGAAAGCCAGGGAGCAAC